GAAUUCAUAGGUUAAUGAGGCGAACCGGGGGAACUGAAACAUCUAAGUACCCCGAGGAAAAGAAAUCAACCGAGAUUCCCCCAGUAGCGGCGAGCGAACGGGGAGGAGCCCAGAGCCUGAAUCAGUGUGUGUGUUAGUGGAAGCGUCUGGAAAGGCGCGCGAUACAGGGUGACAGCCCCGUACACAAAAAUGCACAUGCUGUGAGCUCGAUGAGUAGGGCGGGACACGUGGUAUCCUGUCUGAAUAUGGGGGGACCAUCCUCCAAGGCUAAAUACUCCUGACUGACCGAUAGUGAACCAGUACCGUGAGGGAAAGGCGAAAAGAACCCCGGCGAGGGGAGUGAAAAAGAACCUGAAACCGUGUACGUACAAGCAGUGGGAGCCUCUUUAUGGGGUGACUGCGUACCUUUUGUAUAAUGGGUCAGCGACUUAUAUUCUGUAGCAAGGUUAACCGAAUAGGGGAGCCGAAGGGAAACCGAGUCUUAACUGGGCGUUAAGUUGCAGGGUAUAGACCCGAAACCCGGUGAUCUAGCCAUGGGCAGGUUGAAGGUUGGGUAACACUAACUGGAGGACCGAACCGACUAAUGUUGAAAAAUUAGCGGAUGACUUGUGGCUGGGGGUGAAAGGCCAAUCAAACCGGGAGAUAGCUGGUUCUCCCCGAAAGCUAUUUAGGUAGCGCCUCGUGAAUUCAUCUCCGGGGGUAGAGCACUGUUUCGGCAAGGGGGUCAUCCCGACUUACCAACCCGAUGCAAACUGCGAAUACCGGAGAAUGUUAUCACGGGAGACACACGGCGGGUGCUAACGUCCGUCGUGAAGAGGGAAACAACCCAGACCGCCAGCUAAGGUCCCAAAGUCAUGGUUAAGUGGGAAACGAUGUGGGAAGGCCCAGACAGCCAGGAUGUUGGCUUAGAAGCAGCCAUCAUUUAAAGAAAGCGUAAUAGCUCACUGGUCGAGUCGGCCUGCGCGGAAGAUGUAACGGGGCUAAACCAUG
rnacentral:rRNA from 1 species